CACAAAUAGAAAAAUUCUUUUUUUAAGAAAUUUAAUAAAAAAUACUUAAAAAUUAUUAAAAAUUAAGGUGAAAUUUAUUUUUAAAAAAAUAUAAAAAUAUAAUUAAAAUUCUAAGAUUAAACUAGGAUUAGAUACCCUAUUAUUUAAGAGCUUAACAUUGUAAGUAAAUAAUAAUUAUGAAAGCAAAAAAUUAUGGCGGUAUUUUAAGCUUUUCAGAGGAAUUUGCUCUUUAAUGGAUAAAACACCAAAAUCUUACUUAGAUUUGUGAUUUCAAUUUGUAUACCACUAUUAAAACAAUUUAUAACUUUAAUUGUUUAAAUUUACAAAACUAAAAUAUAUUAAGUCAAGGUGCAGUAAAAAUUUAAGGAUGAAGUGAAUUACAUUACUUUUUAGUGAGAUAAGUUUAUAACAAUAUUUAGGAUUUGAAAGUAAAAUUAAAAUAGGAUGUUAAUUUGAAUUAAGCUCUAAAAUAU
rnacentral:rRNA from 1 species